UAAAAGAUGGACAUUUUAUACAUGCUUUUGUUGGCAAAUGUAGUUCUUUCUUUGAAAUGUAUAAAAACCUUAAAGAUUGUAACUAACGUCACUAACUUCGGAGCAUGAUUAGAGGAGGUAUCCUCCAUGUUCCCCAGUGCUGCAUAAUAAAGAAGUGCCUGCUUCUCUUCAUCCCUGUGUAGAUAAGUUCUUUCGCGAUUGUGGAUCCAUCAACAAGGAGAGCCCACAAGCCCUGGCCAGGCAGAAACUGAAGGCAUCUGUGGAGCAGGUGAGCAGCUGGGGACAAAAUGGGUGCACAGAUUUCUUCAGAAGAACAAACUAUCCUAAAUACAAUAAUGUGUAUUUUAGAAAAAAAAAAAAAGGGCUUCAGUCUGAUGAUAAAGCCAUAAGAACUUUAUUAAUUUGGGCAGGAAAACAGAGGGUUCCUUCUGAAGCCACGACAGCAUUUCAGGUUAAUACCUGGGAGGAUUUGGGCAAAUUGCUUUGUGAACAUGCUUCAAAGGGAGAUAAAAUUGCUACAGAGUCAUUAACCACUUGGUGACUUAUAAAGGAGUCGAUGCUGCAGUUUAAAAGUGAUCGCUCUGAGGCUGCUGCUGCUGCGCUAGCAACCUCUCUGUCGCCCUCUAUUCCUGGGGCAAAAGGCCCUACUGAUAAAAGCGUAACACCUUUUAACUGUUCUUUGCUGGCUGAUACCAUCCAGGAUUCUGCAAGAACAAUAAGGCAAUAUUUAUCUCAGCUUCCACUGUAACUAAUUCAUCUGCUGUUUAUGUUGAUUCAUUUUCUGGGAUGAUACAUGCCACUGCAGCCUCUGGGGAAAAGGUUGUAUGUAUACCAAGUCACUGGUUGAGCUGUUUUGCAAACAUGUGGGUGCCGAAAGAAAUUAAAACUGUUAAUGGCCCUGGAUACACAGCUCAAAAUAUACAACUGUUUUUACAGCAAUGGAGGAUUUGACAUAAGAUGGGUGUUUCUGUAUAACCCCACAGGACAGAAAAUAGUCAAACAUGCACAUGCUGCAUUGAAAGCCCUGAUUUUAAAACAAAGAAGGGGGAAUUCUCCAGACACACCACAGAAUCCGCUAGCAAUGACUUUAUAUAUUCUUAAUCUUUUAAACAGAAAUCGGAUGUGUAACAUCAUUUCAGCACAAUGCACCUUACAGCUAAACCGUGGGUUCUGUACAAGGAUCCUGAAGGAGACCCAGCCUGGAAAGGGACAGUAGAUCUGUUGGUGUGGGGGAAGGGUAUGCUUGUGUUUUCUCGCCCACAGGUCCUUGGUGGAUACCGGCAAGAAUAGUUAAGCCAUAUCAUGAGCUGGAAGAAUCAACCUUUCAACCCAAUACCCCAGACCUCCCCACUGACUAUGUGGGAAUCGACAUGCGGGCAACAGAUUCCUAGGAACUCGGCAACUGCGGCUGUCACAUGGGGAAGUCUGAAACAACUAGAACAGAAAGCAGAGAAUAUGAUGGCAUGGGUAGGAGCGAUGUCAACACUGGAAAAUGACUUUUUUUACCUAUCUGGCCCUUAUUUCAACCAACUCAGCAGUAAGUAUAAGUUCGCUAUUCUUAUUUUGUCCGGAAGCAACUGGUCAUAUAUAUUGGGCACACAUCAUUGACCCACCAUUUUUGCCUUGGUAAGUUGGUGGGAUACCAAUAUACCAGUAGCAAGUAAUAGACUGGAGGAGCUUGGCUUCCUCCUCGGGAUGCAGAGAAUCAGUCAUAUCAUAUUAUAACAUUGUAUGUUGGAACCACAAAAUUUAUAGCCUUUGCAAUGAUAGCGCCAUCGAACACAAGGUCACCAUCUGUGCAACUCAUCCUUACAUCUUGUUGGAUAGAACUCAGGUACAAUUAAGCAAGUGUUGAUCGUUCUCAGAUUACCAUCACAGAUAGAAGUGCUGAGGCCUGAGCAACAGGUCCCGAACCAAAGUUGACCUAUAGAUGAAACUCCCAAUCAAACGUUAUAUAAGUAGCUCAUCAUUAGUGAAAUAUGAGUUAUUGAUGAGGAUAAAGUUUCCAAUUAUUAGUGAAGGAUGUAGCUAAAAUGUUUAUAAGAAUGUAUUAUUUGAUGUGUCUAGUUCUGUAUGUACAGGGGUUGGUGUUUGAGGCAGAGAAAUCAGAUGUUUAGCCUUGGUCGGUAAUACAUGAAAAAGAACCAAAUAGAUAAGGAAACUCCCUUGGUUCCUCCUGGGGCCCUGACCAAGCUUCAGGUGGCAUCUCAACAGAGAAUAAAAUCAGAUGUUCCGCCGGUAAAUUUAUGUGGGAUUAUUCAACAGUAUAAAAGGCUGGACUCUCUUACAGCGACUUUGGAGAUCUCACCUAUGAGUAGACACACUGCAUAGGACCUCCCAAUUUCUGGGACAGGUUCCCCGAAUCCUCACUGUAACAGGGGCUCCCCAGCGACUGCAGCUCUGGAUGAUGGAUGUGACUUUAACUACUCAAUACUGAGGACUGUGUACCAGAAUAUACAGUGACAAUGCUUUGUCACCAGCACCUAUAAGAAUGAACAUUACAUUGGUCAAGAAGCUACUAGAGCACUCUGGUCUACACAACUUAAUAGAAAGACUGAAGGAGAGAACUCAUAGACUUCUCAUUACAGUUCACCAUGACACCCAGGACAUAUACAUCGUGUGCCAAAACGAGUGAAAAAGGAUGGAGAAUAUCACUGGUGGGAUGUUUUGUUUGGAUGAACUCUGACUGUUACUGGGAUCUUUAACAUGUUUAGUACCAACAACAUUAUUUCAGGAUGUUAUGCCUAGUCUUGAUAAUCAUCAUAUAUCUGAGAGUGUGGUACAUGAUUCAAGACUUAACACAAUUAACACCACCUAGGCCUGUCAUAUUAAACAAAGAAUGAUGUUUCUUAACACAUUUGAUGGUAAUGUAUAAAAUAUGGGGCACUUUUAUAGCAUGGAGGCAAGAGGUACCUGCAUUACCACCUCAUGAGGUAAAGAUGAUUGACUGCAGUCUCAGGGUGGAGUGUAGCAGGACACUCCCCCUGGUGAAAAGAUACAAGUUGAAGGUCAUGCUGUUUUCUAAUGGCGAAGGCCAUUACAGAUCAGCCUGACUUAACCAUCUCCAAGGAUAACUUGAGAGGAUGAGAAGAUUCUUGAGCCAAUGGGCAGUGAAACAGACAUCUGUCAUAACAUUGUUGCAGGAGACUGGAUGUUCCUGCUAGCCCUACAGAGAUGUAAGUCCAAUGACAAGAUGACUGACAGUCAGUCACUUUAUUCUAUAAAUGCCCAGUCCCAGUUCUGUGAGGUGAGAGGAUUUCUGCCUCUUUUAGAAUGUCUGAAAAUUUCCCCCCUUUUUAGCAGGGAUACCCCUUAAGGGUACCCUCUGGAGCCGAGAGAUUCUCUCACUCUCUUUGACAUGAUUGAAUAACAUCAUUCUCUAUGAAAUAAAGGCCGAAUCACGAUUGAUUGUGAUGAUCUCCAUGAAAAUGAUCUAUAAAAUGAAAAGGGAGAAUUGUGGGAGAGAAUUGGGCUGCAGGCAGCUUUAACCUUGAGACAAAGUUCUUCCCUUGAAGCACAGAUAAACAGCUCUGAGAAAGAAGUGAUAAGACAGAAGAACUGAAGCAUAAAACCAGGAUGCAGGCAUACCAAAGAAGCAGCAAGAGUGGCUAGUGAUAAGUAUAGAGUGACCAACCAUUAUGUUAGCAUAGGUGCAUGCUUUGAGACUGUUACCCAAUAAACUCUGUGUGAUCGGGGGAUAAGGGUAUAAUAGGGGGAAGCUUUGGCAAUAAAGGAUUUGCAGCACCAAGAA